UACGUAGGUGGCGAGCGUUGUCCGGAAUUACUGGGCGUAAAGCGCACGUAGGCGGCUUUGUAAGUUAGAGGUGAAAGCCCAGGGCUUAACCCUGGAAUUGCCUUUAAGACUGCAUCGCUAGAAUCGUGGAGAGGUAAGUGGAAUUCCGAGUGUAGAGGUGAAAUUCGUAGAUAUUCGGAAGAACACCAGUGGCGAAGGCGACUUACUGGACACGUAUUGACGCUGAGGUGCGAAAGCGUGGGGAGCAAACAGG
rnacentral:rRNA from 1 species